AUUGAACGCUGGCGGCAGGCUUAACACAUGCAAGUCGAGCGGGGAAGGGUAGCUUGCUACCUAACCUAGCGGCGGACGGGUGAGUAAUGCUUAGGAAUCUGCCAUUUAGUGGGGGACAACAUUCCGAAAGGAAUGCUAAUACCGCAUACGUCCUACGGGAGAAAGCAGGCGAUCUUCGGACCUUGCGCUAAAUGAUGAGCCUAAGUCGGAUUAGCUAGUUGGUGGGGUAAAGGCCUACCAAGGCGACGAUCUGUAGCGGGUCUGAGAGGAUGAUCCGCCACACUGGGAGUGAGACACGGCCCAGACUCCUACGGGAGGCAGCAGUGGGGAAUAUUGGACAAUGGGCGGAAGCCUGAUCCAGCCAUGCCGCGUGUGUGAAGAAGGCCUUAUGGUUGUAAAGCACUUUAAGCGAGGAGGAGGCUACUUAGAUUAAUACUCUAGGAUAGUGGACGUUACUCGCAGAAUAAGCACCGGCUAACUCUGUGCCAGCAGCCGCGGUAA
rnacentral:rRNA from 1 species